UAUACUGAAAGAAAACAAAACAAAACACCAAACCAAACAAAAACACACAACAACCACAUCUUUUAAAGAAAGAGAAAAGGAGGGAGACUUUGUCCUUGAGCCUGUGGACAUAAAAAGAUUGUGUCUUUGGCCCUUGGGAGUUUGCAGCUAAAAAGCCCAGGCCUUCCCUGACACAUGGCCUCCGAUGUCAGCAGCACUGGACUUAGGGAGGCAGCCAAGUCCAAGAGCAAUGGAGACAUGGGCUGGAGGACAGGUGAUGGGCAGGAGGCAGUGCUGGAGAGGUGGACAGGGAGCGUGUGUCCUGUGCCCCGCGGAGCUAACAGAGCACCUGGACUUAGAUCAGACGCGUUCCCGUCCUUUAAUACAAGCUCUAACCACACCAAGGCAGCUCUGACAAGCCACGGGGUGUCACGCGGAAGACCAGAGUGCUUCAGACCUUCCGUCUUUGGGGUGAGGAUGUGAGAGCCCAGGCCGAGGUCCAGCUGGCCAGUGGGACUGUGGGGCGGGUUCUCAGGAGGGCGGCCGUGGCUGGGGACACAGAUUUGGAAGCAGAGGCUGACCGUGCAGGGAUGGGUGACUGUGUGGGGGUGGGGCGGGGUGGACGGCAUUCUGAGGAGAGAGCAGGGGAGGCCUCUGGGAACACAGUGUUCUCAGGAAACAGAGGUUCCUGUGGUGAAUCCUGGCUCCUCGCCCCCAAUAAACUUCCUGAUUCUGGACUGCGUGGCCUCAGUGCUGCACCGUCCCCUGCCGCGCCUCUGUGGAGACCUACUGUGUGUCGGCACUGUGCAGCAGGAGGCCCAGCCUGCCUCCCUUAGGGCGGAUACUGUGCUUCAUUGUGCAGAUGAGCACCCAGGGGACCUGAGGCCCUGCAGCCGGUGAGUCACAGGAGUGAGUCACCCUGCAUUGCGAGUGCAGAUGAUCCCGGGAGGAAGCAUAGGGAUGGGCCAUGGGAGAAGCUGGCUUUUCUCAGCUGCUCUGGCCAUGUUUAACCACAGAGAGUUGCAGAUGAGAUGAGAAGGUAGCCUGAGGAGCUGUCACUCCAGAGUUCCUAUCUCAGGUACAGGAGAGCCCUUGGUGUGGACUGCACUCAGCUUCUUGGCAGGCAAUUCCACCAGGCACACGAGGAAAUGGGAGGGCUGUGACACAGAAGCUAAAAGCCUCAAUUACCCUUCGUGACAGGAACAGAGGACAUAUUUAUGAAGAGAGAAAUUUUUGCCUCGUAAAUCACACUUGUGAGGAAUCAGCCGAGCUGGUGACCAUGGUGACAGCCAGAGGCAGCCUCAGAGCGGGGAUCACUCGGCCUCACACCUGCUCAUUAAACCGGAGUGUCCUGAGAGAGCACCUAGGAGUCAGCCAGGGCCAGGAGCGGGCCAGGGCGGGCAGCACGCAGGGCUGGAGCUCAGGUGCAUCCCUGGUUCCCAACCUUGGGGGCUCGUGGGUAUCAAUUCUGGAAGCGGGAGGUUUGGAGGGGCUUUCAACGACCCUGUCACCUGAGUCCCACCCGCAGAGAUUGAUGAUGUAAUUGUCCCGGUGGCGCCUGGGAAUUGGGAACUUUAAAAGCCACCCAAGUGAUUCUGACAUGCAGCCAAGGUUGAGGGCUCACUAGGCCUCACCCUGCCUGCCAAUCGAUGAAUCAAACAGCAGGCUUUCGGCAAGUGCACCCUGGUAGGGGGACCCGGAAAUAGGGCAGAGUUUCUGCCCAGGCUCCACGUUGCUGAUUCCCAUUCCCCACGGGUGACAAAGACCCUGGAGGCGGCCUGCGUGCAGGACAUGGUACCGGAGGAGCAGCAGCUACUCCUGCUCUGGGCCCAGAGACUGAAUCUGUUUGGGGUUCCCACCGAUGCACGCCAACGCUGCCCCUCCACGCCGUGGUCAUACAUGCAUGCGUCUUCUUGGUCCUGCUUUCUUGCUCCCCUGCCCUUCGCAGAACAUCCCCGGCUGCCAGAGGAGCACCUUUCAUUUCAUUUACAAGCCUUUGCUGACCGCCUCCGGCGUGCAGUGGGCACCAGGACUGUGCUGGGCAGGGGCUCACACGAAGCAGGGACUCAGGAGUCAACCAAGCUCCCUCCAGCACAGAGCGACCCUUACCUCCUCACAAGGGGAAUCCAUCCGCGUGGUGAGCUGCCUCGGGAAGGUGCGAGCAGAGACUCAGAAGGGCCUCUAGCGACUUGUGUUCUUCCCCUGGCAUUGCAGGCGGACUCCAUAGCUUUCUAAUAAAUAGUCCCAUACUUUAUAAAGAAAAGUCCAGCUCAGUUGAUUAGCAAAAUCUCAGGCUCUCACCCAAUUUAAAUGUCGACCCUCCCCGCUCCAUCCAGAUCAGCCCUGAGGUGGCUCGCGGUCAGGUGCGCGUGUGUCCAGCCAACCCUGGGGAAGAUUCCAUGGGCUCAGCCUCCCCCAGCGUGGCCUUGACAAUGUCAUCUCCUAAAGUGACACAGCAUGAUCCCUGUCCAACAUCUGGUUCCUUACACAAUAUUCAGACCUCCAUGGGUUGUUGAUGUUUGUUUUCUAAUAAAAGCAUUUAAGGAUAUGAAUUUCAUCAGACUGCAGCUCAUGUCAUUACAUGAACAUGUAUUGCCCUCCCUACCUUUCAAUGAUAAUAAAAGUCAUAUGGGCUCAUUGUACAGCUCAUACAACCCAGAAAUGCAUUCAUUAAUUCCUUCAGCAAAUAGUUAUCUAGUGCCUUCUGUUUGGCUGACAAGGUUCUUACUUAGCACUAUGGGAUACAGCAGGAAAUACAUUAGAUGCAGACCCUGCACUCAGGUUCGUUUAUCUGGGUAGACACUAGUGACUAUGAUGUCAGGAGAUGCAGGAAGAUUUAAAAAUACAACACAAGUCACCUGUCAUCUCGAAGCCCAG